rnacentral:rRNA from 1 species
GAACGAACGCUGGCGGCAUGCCUACCACCUGCAAGUCGAACGAGACCUUCGGGUCUCGUGGCGCACGGGUGCGUAACGCGUGGGAACCUGCCCUUAGGUUCGGAAUAACUCCCCGAAAGGGGUGCUAAUACCGGAUAAUGUCUUCGGACCAAAGAUUUAUCGCCUUUGGAUGGGCCCGCGUUGGAUUAGCUAGUUGGUAGGGUAAAAGCCUACCAAGGCGACGAUCCAUAGCUGGUCUGAGAGGAUGAUCAGCCACACUGGGACUGAGACACGGCCCAGACUCCUACGGGAGGCAGCAGUGGGGAAUAUUGGACAAUGGGCGAAAGCCUGAUCCAGCAAUGCCGCGUGAGUGAUGAAGGCCUUAGGGUUGUAAAGCUCUUUUACCCGGGAUGAUAAUGACAGUACCGGGAGAAUAAGCUCCGGCUAACUCCGUG